rnacentral:misc_RNA from 1 species
UUUCCGUAGGUGAACCUGCGGAAGGAUCAUUAAAGAAUUUGCCCCGUCCUCUCGAGGAUGGGUCCUCUUCUAAACCGUGCAUACAUACCUUUGUUGCUUUGGCGGGCCGCCGUCUCGGCGUUGGCUUCGGCUGACUGUGCCCGCCAGAGAACCCCAACUCUUCUGUUUAGUAUUGUCUGAGUACUAUAUAAUAGUUAAAACUUUCAACAACGGAUCUCUUGGUUCUG